UUUCAUUGGAUCUGUGAAAAAACACUAAACUGCAAAAAUACAUGUUCUGAAGGAUGGAGCAAGUUCAACUGUAGCUGCUAUAUCCGGUCUCAAAGCUCUGGUUCCUGGGAUGCAGCCAGAAAGGACUGCAGAGACAGAGGAGCAGAUCUCAUGGUUGUUGACAGCCCUGAAGAACAGACCUUUCUCUCUACAAUCACCACAAGAAGAGUUUGGCUUGGUUUGACUGACGAAGAACAGGAGGGAACAUGGAAAUGGGUGGAUGGAACUCCACUGACUCUGUCGUACUGGGGAUCGACUCAACCUAAUAAUGGUGGAGAAGAGGACUGUGCUCAUGUCUAUAGUGGUGAGGACAUGAGCAUGAAUGACCUUUCAUGCUCAACUUCUCUUAAAUGGAUCUGUGAAAAAGCAC